GAUGAUGAUGGGGAGCGGAAAACAAUCCAUAGACGGAAAUGAGAAACUUGCAUGGAGGUGAUGUGGGACGUGGCAGCAGUAAACAGGGCCGUAGAAGACACGUGUCGAGAUAGGCUUGGUGGUGGGCUGGCUUUACUAGAGAGAUAAGCACUGAUCACAUGCCUUUUCUUCAAGAGAAGAUAUAUACCACAGAACACAGCCUCCCCACAAGACAGUCAAGUCAGAUCAGAUCAGAAGAUCGUUGAGACGGGUUGGAAGGGAUGGGCUGUGGAGUUCGUGUGGUGUUGUGUCUCGUCCUGAUAUUCGCAGCGGAGUCUUCUGCCCGGAACCCCUUGUCUCUUUCAGGAGGAGGAGGACCGGUGGAGAUGAGGAGAAGAACAGGAGAGAGGAAGGUGAGGGAGAUGGUGAAUGACUACGGCGAUCCCUCCGCCAAUCCCAAGCACGAUCCCUCCGUCCCUCCUGCUCCAGUCCGAAACUGAUGCAUCCCUGCUUCUUCUUCUUUGUAGUUUGUAUCCCUGUGUGUCCAAGUAAAACCAAUAGCUUACAGGUUCCUCACCCCAGUAUCAAUUCUUCUUUGAAUGUGCAAUAAUCCAUUCAUAAUCCCUUGA